GGAGUCUACAGGAGACUAGAACUGGCCCAUCACUCGGUCCAACGGACCACACCACGCUCUGCUCUGCUGCGAGGACAGACACCACCACCCCAACGCCAUGUCACUCCGCCGCCUCGUAGCCCGCUCCCUCUCCACCGCUGACCUCUCCGGCCGCCUCAGCCCGCUCUCCACCGCCGUCGCUGUCCCAGGCCGCUCCCUCUCCACCGCCGACCUCGCAGGCCGCCGCCGCACGCACCCGCCAUGGGCAAUCAUCCACGACACGUCGGAGGUCGACCGGUCGUCGUCGGCCCCGGGCGCGCGCUUCCGCCCCGUGGAUCCUCCGGGUGUCUCCCACAUCUUCGCCCCAGCGCACCUCAUCGAUCCCACGGAACGCCCACACGCCGGUAGCAGCGACGACGUCCUCCGAUACAUCGGCGGCAACGUCGUCCAGCUCCUCUUCGGCAACGUCGGCGCCACCAGCGGCGACGGCCACCUCCUGCUCAGCUACCACGACCUCCGGGCGGAGGGCCCUUGCACCCGCUGGGACUUGGCCGAGGACCCCGAAGCCCACCGCUUCGUCUGCAACCCUCUCACCGGCCAGAUGCUCCGCCUGCCCGACAUCGGCGGCUCCAGGAGGAACUACGCCCUCCACAGCAUGGGCCUCCUCACCCAGGCCGACGGGGGGCUCGGGUGCGGGCCGCCCGACAGGUUCGCCGUCGCCGACUUCGUCCUCAAUGGCGCCGCCAUCUUGCGGUUUCUCUCUGAGGAAGGGAAGUGGAGGGCGGUACGGCCGGUCCAUGGCAAUCCAUCGCUCCCGCGCCCGAUAGAGAUGAACCAGGAGACGGUUGCCUUCGGCGGCCGGCUGUGGUGGGUCGACCUGACCUUGGGUGCCGUCUCCGUCGACCCGUUCGCCGACCGGCCGGAGAUCCGCUUCGUCGAGCUGCCCAGCGGCAGCGUGCUGCCUGCGCCUGCACGUGUGGACGAAGCAGACCCCUGCAAGGUCGAGGAACGGGGGCUGCUCAUUAUGGAGGUGACCAAUCGCCGGCGCAUCGGCGUGAGCGAGGGGAGGCUGCGCUACGCCGAGGUGACUCCGGGCGGGCCGUUUCUGCUCAGCUCAUAUGCGCUCGACGACGACGAGGGCAGCGGCUGGAAGCUGGAGCACCAGGUGUCGCUCAGGCAGGUGUUGGCGGACGGAGGCUACUCGGCACAGGCGGCGCCGCAGAUCGCCGUCCUUGACCCCGUCGACGCCAACAUCAUUUACCUCAAGGUCGGCAAGGACGUCGUCGUCGUGGACAUGCAUAAUGGGAAUGUGAUUGGGGGCUGUCGGCUUCAAGGAGAGUACGUUUCUCUUGUACCAUGCGUGCUUCCACACUGGCUUGGAUCAAGCCGGAUCCCCGCCCAAGGCAAGAAGGAUGGCAUGGAAGUGACAGAUGAUCUGGUCAGUAGCGCCUAGAAGUCGUGAAUGGGCAUCAGUCUACCAGCUUAUGUAUCUCUGGUUGGGAACUAUCUUAGUCUCUUAACUAAUGCUUCCAUUAUUAGUCAUCCAUUGGCAUUGUUUUCUGAAACUAAUAGAUGGAGGGGUUGCACUAUAUUAGGAUAGAAGCUGGCGGUAGUUUGUCGAACUCUCAUUUUGGGUGAAAUCUGGAAUGUUUUGGAUUUAUUGUAGUUUCUUGAUGAGUUACCAUCUCGUUUAGAGGGAAAUCUAGCAGUUGGCUCAACAGUCCAUUAGGAUAUUGCAGUAGAACUAAAUUAAAUCAGCAUGUGACGACUGUCACAAAACCGCAUGCAUGAAGUUACUUGCAAGACAAUAUGCUCAUCUUUUCUUUUCAAGUUCAGAGAAAGAAAAAUACAAGAUCGUCCUUUUGUAGGAAAACAUGGAUGCAUCCAUGAUUUUAAAUGCUUGUAGACUUGUAGUCUAAGUGACAUCUGUUAUGAAUUGAUGAAUGUUUCAACGGUUCA